rnacentral:tRNA from 1 species
GUUUGAGUAGUUUAAUAUAGAAUAAUAAUUUGUGGUGUUAUAGGUAUAAGUUUUAUCUCAAAUC